GCUCCCGUAGUUCAACGGAUAGAAUAAGGGCUUGCGGAGCCUUUGAUGGCAGUUCAAUUCUGCCCGGGAGUACAA
rnacentral:tRNA from 4 species